rnacentral:sRNA from 1 species
CUGCGCCGACCGGACGGCCGGACUCCAGCGCCUUGGCCCGGCCCGCGAACUCUGAGCACUCGCGGAAAUCCUUUAAAGAUAGGAAGUGAAAUCAAAUGGAUGUUGGAGGUGGAAUGAAGUUUUUCAUAUUCCUGACCUUUGGAGAAAGUUUGAAUUUGAACUGAACCAGUCAGCUACUUCAUAUUUUAAGUCCACUCAUCCUGAUCUCAUUCAGCAGAUCAUUAAAAAGCAUUCUGCUCAUCUUCAAUAUGUCAGCUUUAAGGUUGACAGUAGCGCUGAGUCAGCAGAAGCUGCCUGUGAUAUACUCUCUCAGCUGGUAAAUUGUUCCGUCCAGACCUUGGGCUUGAUUUCAACAGCCAAGCCAAGUUUCAUGAAUGUGUCAGAGUCUCGUUUUGUGUCAGCACUUACAGUUGUUUUUAUCAACUCAAAAUCAUUAUCAUCAAUCAAAAUUGAAGAUACACCAGUGGAUGAUCCUUCAUUGAACAUUCUUGUAGCCAAUAAUAGUGACACUCUAAGACUCCUAAAAAUGAGUAGCUGUCCUCAUGUUUCAUCUGAUGGUGGGUUACAUUUUUUAAAGCUAGAAUGAUAUGAUAUUUUUAUUACAAUAACUAUAAAGAUGCAAUUUCCUUUUGAAAAUUAUAUGCCUAUGAAGCAUAAAUUAUUUAAGUAAGUUUUUUCAAAAGAUUUCUUAAUCCGCAAGGUAGGUAUAGUUAUAGUAAGUUUCUCCUGAGAUAUUUUAAUUUUACAUAUAUACAUAUGCUUUUCAUUAUAUACAUAAUACCUCCUGGCAGCCAUGCUCUCAGAAGUUAUUAGAUAGCUAUUUUCACAAAUAAUGAAUAAUUAAUAUCAAAUUUAAAUUUACAAAAUAUUGUAUUAGGAUCAGUAUGAUUCUUUGUUCUUAAGAAUUUUCCCCAACUUCCCACAGGAAUUCUUUGUGUAGCUGAUCACUGUCAAGGCCUUAGAGAACUGGCAUUGAAUUAUUACAUCCUAACUGAUGAACUUCUCCUUGCACUCUCAAGCGAGAUUCAUGUUAACCUUGAACAUCUUCAAAUUGAUGUUGUCAAAGAUUUGAUUGUUUGCAAACUGUCUUAAUGGAUUGCUGCAGAAACAUUUGAAAAAAAAUAAGAAAUUUGAAAAGCAAGAAAUUGCUGUAAAUAGGGCACAAGCCCUGUACGUGGAUUAGAUGGUCGAUAUGCCAAAAACUACAGAUGGUUUCUAAGCAGAUUUCUCAGCUUUCCUUGGAGGCAUAUUGUAGCUUGCUAAGUUUUAUCAUUUUGAAAGAAGUACAAUAUCUCCUUGUAUAGAACCUGCAUUAAAUAAAUGAGCAUCAACAUCUCCAGUAGGCACCCCAGGUGUAGACUCCACCUCUCCUACCUCUUCCAGAUAUUCGAACACCAUUAUUGAUAGCAUUUUUGUUUUGAUAAGGUUUCUCCUGGCCCACAAUCAUUCCAGUGAAUGGUGCAUACACAGUAGAUCCAGCAGAGCACAAGACGUCCACACCCUGGUGAGGCCUCUGACUUCUAGAAUGCAAGUAAGAAUGAACAGACUGAGGAACUGCCUUAGGGGAGCUUUACUGCCUGGGAACAUGUUGUUAUCCCACUGUUUCCAGACGAGAUACCAAAGCUUGAAGCUGCCAGAACAUGUUGGGAUGUCCCAGGAUGCCUCACUCUAUUUAGCCCAAUUUUAACCUCCUUCUCCGCAGGUGCUAAUAACCAUGUUAUAAAGAUGAAAGCAUUUAAAAUG